UACGAAGGGGGCUAGCGUUGCUCGGAAUCACUGGGCGUAAAGGGUGCGUAGGCGGGUCUUUAAGUCAGAGGGGAAAGCCUGGAGCUCAACUCCAGAACUGCCUUUGAUACUGAGGAUCUUGAGUUCGGGAGAGGUGAGUGGAACUGCGAGUGUAGAGGUGAAAUUCGUAGAUAUUCGCAAGAACACCAGUGGCGAAGGCGGCUCACUGGCCCGAUACUGACGCUGAGGCACGAAAGCGUGGGGAGCAAACAGG
rnacentral:rRNA from 1 species